AUUAUCUGAGUUUAUUCUAUUGUUUGUACUGAAACUAGGUUUUUAUAUAUUUGUGAACUUUUGUAAUGAAAAUUAAAAACAAAUAAGCAGAGUACAACAAUAAAUACGGUACAUCUUAAAUUAUUUGGAGACUAAUAGCUCAGUUACAGAAAUAGUCGACCACUAGUAUUUUAACACUUGCUUGAUUCUUGCUAGACUCCACACUCCACACUUAAAAAGAAUGAAAUGGAACACAAUAAAUCUAAACUCAUUUUGUACUGGUGUGCAAGUCUGAUAAGGACCUUGGUGAGUCUGAGAUUGAAAAUAGUUCAGUUACUUAAUGUUACCUGCAGAUGUAAAAUAAUUCCUGCUCUUUUCCUCUUUAACUUAGAAAACAAGAGAGUUGCAUAUGUUGUUCUGAGAAUGAGCAUACUGGCCUGCCUUUUAUUUGGAAGCCUGCAUGUUUUCUUCAGUCGUAAUUUUCAUCCUGCGUUUCCAAGAUAUUUUAAAAUAUGAUUUCAACUGAAAGAAAGUGCUACACUUAAGAAUUUUCUUGGCCAAAAUAAUUGAUGAUUCAAAAAUCUAUUAUGAUUCAAAAUUAUGUCUUCCUUUAAUAAGCACAUAUUGGCGAGGAAUGAUACCUACAGAAUAAAAAUGAGAAAUAAAAUAUGGCUGUAUCA
rnacentral:lncRNA from 1 species